CUGUGUAGUGUAGUAGGAGAGAUCGAGACCAUUCGGAAUACGAGGGUUUGUUUUGACUGCCUUUUCAAAACAUACUAUACACUGCACUAGCGUCGGUAAAUGCAAGCGGAUUCCAUGUGCAUUUUGGUGGCGCCUUUGGUGGUUGCAAUGGAUGUGUAUUGCUGUUGACAAUUCGAGGGAUUCAUCGGUCAGACACGACAGGAAGAUAAUUAUGUGAAACAACCAUUGACAUAUCUCAUGUGGUUUAAAAGAGAGACCUGGAUACCCAGACACCAGAUUGGACACUGAACGAACGAACGGUGCUAGCAAGGCCAUAGGAAAUACGUUCAAACUCCAGAUAUUGAAGACCUCGCGCCACACUGACAGUGACAGUAUUCUGACCUGCCAUGGAUCCUAACCCAGACUACCCCCUCGUUCCCUAUGAACAUCCGUCAUGGACUUCAACAAUUAAACAGGAUAUGAUCCCGAAAUACAGACUUAAGCUUGGAGUUUUACACACACCCAUCCAGCGUUGGCGCUUGCCCGACAUACCGGAUGACUUUGAAGUGUUCGUUAAACGUGAUGACAUGACAGGAAGUGUUCUAACAGGCAACAAGGUUCGCAAGCUUGAGUUUCUAAUGGCUGAUUGCGUGCAUAAAGGCUGCCAGGCCAUCAUAGCAUGCGGAGGAAUCUUUUCAAAUUCUUGUAGAGCAGCAGCCAUAGCAGCAAGACAGAUGGGUUUCGACAGCCAUCUACUCCUAUGGUCAAAAGGAACGGAGAUGCCUUUCACGGGGAAUGCACUUCUCGAUAGGUUGGUUGGGUGUAACUUUUACUUGAUGCCGAAAGAUUGCCCAUUCCAGACAGAUGUUUAUCCCCGUAUGCAUCAGCUCCAUGAUCAUAUCUUUAAAACAUCAGGGAAGAAAGCUUAUGAGAUUCCUUUUGGUGGGACCAAUGAAAUAGGAGUGUGGGGUUACAUCGACUGUUUUCAUGAACUCAUGGGUGAGGGACUAUUUGAAUCCGGUUUCACUGAUAUCGUGAUAGCUGGCGGAAGUGGAGGGUCUGUAAUUGGUCUAGGUAUAGCAAACUACCUGACUGGAAGUAAAUUAAAAAUUCAUGGGAUGGCUGCGUGUCUUGAUAAAGAAUAUUUCCACAACGAAGGCGAUAAGAUUCUCAGGGCACUCGGUCUGCAGGAGGAGGGUGGUUCAGGUGUUAAAACGAAAGACAUUGUCCAGUUUGCUGAAGUCGUGGGCAUUGGAUAUGGCAUCAACACGCCAGAGGAAAUGGAAUGUAUAGAGAAGAUCGCCACAACGACUGGUAUAUUCGUUGACCCAGUUUAUUCAUCAAAGGCUGCUUACCAUCUUAUCAAGAUGAUGAAUGAGAGUCAAGAUUCACUAAAAGGAAAGAAAAUACUCUUCAUCCAUACAGGUGGCGUAUUUGAUCUUUUCAGCGGCGUCUUUGCUUCCAGGAUGAAUGCAAAAUCUUCAGCUCAAAACAGGGUACACGAUUGGAUGGAACUCACCGACAAAGUACCAACCUGUCAAUGAAUCAAUGGUGACAUAGGCUUUAGAAGAUAUCUCACAAGAAAAAAGUUCUCAUCUACGUUAUAAACCAAUGAAUGUAGACGGCGUGAGUACAAUGGCGCAGAGCACUUUGUUGCUGCCCUCUAAAUUCGUUGGUAAAAACUUUAUAUUUUGAUUGAAAAACUUACUGAACGUUGAUAUCAUCAUGUAGGUCCAUGAUAUCAUUAAUUCAUGCUCUACCCUUGUCAUUUUGUCUUCCAUGAAAAUAACUAACCGGCAAUAAAAAUAUGAAAAUGGGCAAUAUAUUUUCCAUUUUAGGAGAGUUUAAGAUUAUCAAAGUGAAUAUCCCUCUUUUAUUAGUUCAUGGAAUUUACCGCCAAAUUUGAAAUUGUAGAAACAAAUUGAAUUAAAAAAAAUCAAGAAGAAUAAAUGAUUUUUAAUGAAGAUUAAAUGAUUUAAAAGAGGAGGCGCGAAAGCUCAGUCGGUAGCGGGGGGAUUCGUAUUCUGGUGACCCGGGUUCGAUUCCCACUUGGGGAUGAAAAAGAAGUGAAAGGGAGGGGGUCGAGGAAAAAACAUCUGAUAUGCCUAAUUGAUCAAUUCAGAAGACAUUAUUUCUACGAUAUUGGUGUUUGAUUUUGAUUUUCUUUU
rnacentral:misc_RNA from 1 species